GUGCUGGCUUCGGCAGCACAUGUACUAAACCUGGAGCAAUAGAAGAUUAGCACGGUCCCUGGGCAAGGGUGACACCCAAAUUCAUGAAGCGUUCCACAGUAAA